GUACUUCUCCUCUGUAGCCAAUACUACAAAAAGCACAUAUUUAAUCAGCAUGAAAGCCAUACCUUAACUAUUGUAAUCACUGCUGCUCAUGAUUAAAUAAACAAUUGGACAUUUCACCCUUUGUGAUUUUUCAAUAGUAUCCUUAUCUCUAUUGAUGACAUUUUAACCAGUGGAAGAGUUGCAGCAUGAGAAAAUGUAUGCAUCCUCAUCUCUAAGAUAAAUGACAUCUGAACUAGUUCACAAUUGGAGCUUGCAAAAGGGAGAUGACAAUUCACUGAAACACAACCUCAAUGAGGUAAAAUUUUAUUUAGGCUAAAUAAGAUUGAAUAUCUGACUCAUAUGAUAGUGGAGGCUGACUAAGUGCCUGAACUAUAACAACAAGGCAUGAAUCUGGUACUCUACAACUUAUGGUAAGAUUGAAUCAUGCAUAAUUCUGGCUAUCUCAGAUAUGAAUUAGGCCUGCCUCAGGGAUAAAAGAAUGAAGGGAUCCCCCUAAAUAUUUUCAAGGAUAGAAGAGUGUAUGCAACACAUGAAAGAAAUCAUAUUAGGCUUAAAACCUCUGAAUCAGCAGAUUUCUAAAGCUUCGUACUAGAACACAUUGAAUCGGCUGUUUCCAUCUACAAUCUAUUGAGAACUACUCAGCGAUGGGGGUGGGUGACAGUUUCCUGUUAAAUUACUAAGGUGGGGUAACCUGUGAAAGGUACUUAGCUCAGGUCUGGAUUCUCUAUUUUGGCUUUAAGAUUGCUCUGAUUUGCUUCGGAGAGGUCCUUAUUGAAAGACUCAACAUCGUUAGCGAUCAGAAACUCGUGGCAAUUAUGCAAUUGUUCUAGUAGAAGAGUCUUAAAUAGUGGAAGGCAUUGAGAAGGGGAGGACAUCUACUGGGAAGGUAAUGAAGAUAAAAUUAGACAUUGUUUCAAUAGACAUCUAAUUUGUUCAAAUUAUGUGUAAUUAUUACCCUAAACUUCAUAAAUAUGGAAAAACCAAGACAGCCACAUAGGAGAAGACAAUCAUAAAAUUGAAACAUAAAAAAGUUAAGUGCAUAGUUACCAGGAAGGUUCUCUGAGACAGUAG
rnacentral:misc_RNA from 1 species